GUAGGGAAUAUUGCGCAAUGGGGGAAACCCUGACGCAGCGACGCCGCGUGAGUGAUGAAGGCCUUCGGGUCGUAAAGCUCUGUUGCAGGGGAAUAAAAAAAUGAAGGUACCCUGUGAGGAAGGAUCGGCUAACUUCGUGCCAGCAGCCGCGGUAAGACGAGGGAUCCUAGCGUUGCUCGGAAUCAUUGGGCGUAAAGAGGGCGUAGGUGGCUUGGUAAGUCAGGUGUGAAAGCCCAGGGCUCAACCCUGGAAGUGCAUUUGAUACUGCUGAGCUUGAGUGUCGGAGAGGUUACCGGAAUACCUGGUGUAGUGGUGAAAUACGUAGAUAUCAGGUGGAACACCGGAGGCGAAGGCGGGUAACUGGACGAACACUGACACUGAGGCCCGAAAGCGUGGGGAGCGAACAGGAUUAGAAACCCUGGUAGUCC
rnacentral:rRNA from 1 species